rnacentral:rRNA from 1 species
AGUGAACGCUGGCGGUAGGCCUGACACAUGCAAGUCGAACGGCAGCACAGUAAGAGCUUGCUCUUACGGGUGGCGAGUGGCGGACGGGUGAGGAAUACAUCGGAAUCUACUUUUUCGUGGGGGAUAACGUAGGGAAACUUACGCUAAUACCGCAUACGACCUACGGGUGAAAGCAGGGGAUCUUCGGACCUUGCGCGAUUGAAUGAGCCGAUGUCGGAUUAGCUAGUUGGCGGGGUAAAGGCCCACCAAGGCGACGAUCCGUAGCUGGUCUGAGAGGAUGAUCAGCCACACUGGAACUGAGACACGGUCCAGACUCCUACGGGAGGCAGCAGUGGGGAAUAUUGGACAAUGGGCGCAAGCCUGAUUCAGCCAUACCGCGUGGGUGAAGAAGGCCUUCGGGUUGUAAAGCCCUUUUGUUGGGAAAGAAAAGCAGCAGGUUAAUACCCCGCUGUUCUGACGGUACCCAAAGAAUAAGCACCGGCUAACUUCGUG